GGGAAUGUGGCUAGGUGGUAAAGUGCAUGCCUAGCAUGCAUGAAGCCCUGGGUUCGAUUCCUCAGCACCA
rnacentral:tRNA from 1 species